AAAUUUGAGAAAUAUUGUGAGAGAAAUAUUUAGUUCCAGUUACCGCGCAGUCCUUAACUAUUUUCACUUUUUAUCACAAUCGAAAAAUAUAGUUCUAGGUACAAAUUGAAAAUUAGUCUUGUAGCUGUUACCAGAAAGUCUAAUAUCCGUUACUGUUCUUUCUCAUU